rnacentral:rRNA from 1 species
AGAGUUUGAUCCUGGCUCAGGAUGAACGCUAGCGACAGGCUUAACACAUGCAAGUCGAGGGGCAGCGGGGAAGUAGCAAUACUUCCGCCGGCGACCGGCGCACGGGUGAGUAACACGUAUGGAACCUGCCCGUAGCAGGGGGAUAAGCGGAAGAAAUUCCGUCUAAUACCGCGUAAUAACUCCGAGAGGCAUCUCAUGGAGUUUAAAGGGUAACACCGGCUACGGAUGGCCAUGCGGCGCAUUAGCUAGUUGGCGGGGUAACGGCCCACCAAGGCGACGAUGCGUAGGGGUUCUGAGAGGAAGGUCCCCCACACUGGUACUGAGACACGGACCAGACUCCUACGGGAGGCAGCAGUGAGGAAUAUUGGUCAAUGGGCGCGAGCCUGAACCAGCCAAGUCGCGUGAGGGAAGACGGUCCUAUGGAUUGUAAACCUCUUUUGUCGGGGAGCAAAAGACGUCACGUGUGGCGUUCCGAGAGUACCCGAAGAAAAAGCAUCGGCUAACUCCGUGCCAGCAGCCGCGGUAAUACGGAGGAUGCGAGCGUUAUCCGGAUUUAUUGGGUUUAAAGGGUGCGCAGGCGGAAGAUCAAGUCAGCGGUAAAAUUGAGGGGCUCAACCUCUUCGAGCCGUUGAAACUGGUUUUCUUGAGUGAGCGAGAAGUAUGCGGAAUGCGUGGUGUAGCGGUGAAAUGCAUAGAUAUCACGCAGAACUCCGAUUGCGAAGGCAGCAUACCGGCGCUCAACUGACGCUCAUGCACGAAAGUGUGGGUAUCGAACAGGAUUAGAUACCCUGGUAGUCCACACAGUAAACGAUGAAUACUAAUUGUUCGGGGAGAAUGAUCCCUGAGUGAUACAGCGAAAGCGUUAAGUAUUCCACCUGGGGAGUACGCCGGCAACGGUGAAACUCAAAGGAAUUGACGGGGGCCCGCACAAGCGGAGGAACAUGUGGUUUAAUUCGAUGAUACGCGAGGAACCUUACCCGGGCUCAAACGACACAGGAAUACUUUUGAAAGGAGGUAGCUCUACGGAGCCUGUGUCGAGGUGCUGCAUGGUUGUCGUCAGCUCGUGCCGUGAGGUGUCGGCUUAAGUGCCAUAACGAGCGCAACCCCCAUCGCCAGUUACCAGCAAGUCAAGUUGGGGACUCUGGCGAGACUGCCGGCGCAAGCUGUGAGGAAGGCGGGGAUGACGUCAAAUCAGCACGGCCCUUACGUCCGGGGCGACACACGUGUUACAAUGGCAGGUACAGAGAGAAGCAAUGCGGCGACGCAAAGCGGAACUUGAAAGCCUGUCUCAGUUCGGAUUGGAGUCUGCAACUCGACUCCAUGAAGCUGGAUUCGCUAGUAAUCGCGCAUCAGCCAUGGCGCGGUGAAUACGUUCCCGGGCCUUGUACACACCGCCCGUCAAGCCACGGAAGCCGGGAGUGCCUGAAGUGUGCAACCGCAAGGAGCGCCCUAAGGUAAAACUGGUGACUGGGGCUAAGUCGUAACAAGGUAACC